GGAAGGAUCAUUACAGAAUUGUCAACGGGUUGUUGCUGGUCCUCGAACGGGGACAUGUGCACGCUCUGUUUACACAUCCACUCACACCUGUGCACCCUCCGUAGUUCUGUGGUCUGGGGGACCCCUGUCUUCCUGCCGUGGUUCUAUGUCUUUACACACACACUGUAAUAAAGUAUUAUGGAAUGCAUGCCGCGUCUAACGCAAUACAAUACAACUUUCAGCAACGGAUCUCUUGGCUCUCGCAUCGAUGAAGAACGCAGCGAAAUGCGAUAAGUAAUGUGAAUUGCAGAAUUCAGUGAAUCAUCGAAUCUUUGAACGCACCUUGCGCCCCUUGGCUAUUCCGAGGGGCAUGCCUGUUUGAGUAUCAUGAACACCUCAACUCUCACGGUUCGCCGUGAUGAGCUUGGACUCUGGGGGUUUUGCUGGCCUGCGGUCGGCUCCCCUCAAAUGAAUCAGCCUCCCAGUGUUUGGUGGCAUCACGGGUGUGAUAAAUAUCUACGCUCGCAGUUGUCCGCCAGGUAACCUUUGGUGACAAAGGUUCGCUGGAGCUCACAGAUGUCUCUCCUCAGCGAGGACAGCUUUUUGAACGUUCGAUCUCAAAUCAGGUAGGACUACCCGCUGAACUUAAGCAUAUCAAUAAG
rnacentral:sRNA from 1 species